rnacentral:misc_RNA from 1 species
GAUGAAGAACGCAGUGAAAUGCGAUAAGUAGUGUGAAUUGCAGAAUUCAGUGAAUCAUCGAAUCUUUGAACGCACAUUGCGCCCGCCAGUAUUCUGGCGGGCAUGCCUGUUCGAGCGUCAUUUCAACCAUCAAGCCCCAGGCUUGUGUUGGGGACCUGCGGCUGCCGCAGGCCCUGAAAACCAGUGGCGGGCUCGCUGUCACACCGGGCGUAGUAGAUUUUAUCUCGCUCAGGGCGUGCUGCGGGUUCCGGCCGUUAAAAAGCCUUUUUUACCCAAGGUUGACCUCGGAUCAGGUAGGAAGACCCGCUGAACUUAAGCAUAUCAAUAAGCGGAGGA